CGCCGUAAACCCAAGGUUUCCUACGCGAUGCUCGUCAUCGUAGGGUUAGUCGGGUCCUAAGCAAAGUCCGAAAGGGGUAUGCGAUGGAAAAUUGGUUAAUAUUCCAAUGCCAACUAUAAUGUGCGAUGGAAGGACGCUUAGAGUUAAGCAAGCUAGCGGAUGGUAGUGCUAGUCGAAAGGUGUAGGUUAAGAUCCAGGCAAAUCCGGAUCUUUUUAAGCCGAGACCCCACAGGCGUUUGAAGUUCUUCGGAAUGGAUAGCGAAUUGCUGAUACUGUCGAGCCAAGAAAAGUUUCUAAGUUUAGUUAUAGUUGCCCGUACCGUAAACCGACACAGGUGGGUGGGAUGAGUAUUCUAAGGCGCGUGGAAGAACUCUCUUCAAGGAACUCUGCAAAAUAGCACCGUAUCUUCGGUAUAAGGUGUGCCUAACUUUGUGAAGGAUUUACUCCGUAAGCAUUGAAGGUUACAACAAAGAGUCCCUCCCGACUGUUUACCAAAAACACAGCACUCUGCUAACUCGUAAGAGGAUGUAUAGGGUGUGACGCCUGCCCGGUGCUCGAAGGUUAAUUGAUGACGUUAGCUCUGCGAAGCGUUUGAUCGAAGCCCGAGUAAACGGCGGCCGUAACUAUAACGGUCCUAAGGUAGCGAAAUUCCUUGUCGAUUAAAUAUCGACCUGCAUGAAUGGCGUAACGAGAUGGGAGCUGUCUCGAAGAGGGAUCCAGUGAAAUUGUAGUGGAGGUGAAAAUUCCUCCUACCCGCGGCAAGACGGAAAGACCCCGUGGACCUUUACUACAGCUUGACACUGCUAUUGGGAUAAAAAUGUGCAGGAUAGGUGGGAGGCUUUGAUCCAUAGACGCCAGUUUAUGGUGAGCCGUUGUUGAGAUACCACUCUUUUUUAUUCUGAUAGCUAACUAGCUUGAGUUAUCCUCAAGUAGGACAAUGUCUGGUGGGUAGUUUGACUGGGGCGGUCGCCUCCCAAAAUGUAACGGAGGCUUACAAAGGUUGGCUCAGAACGGUUGGAAAUCGUUCGCAGAGUAUAAAGGCAAAAGCCAGCUUAACUGCGAGACAUACACGUCAAGCAGGGACGAAAGUCGGUCUUAGUGAUCCGGUGGUUCUGUGUGGAAGGGCCAUCGCUCAAAGGAUAAAAGGUACCCCGGGGAUAACAGGCUGAUCUCCCCCAAGAGCUCACAUCGACGGGGAGGUUUGGCACCUCGAUGUCGGCUCAUCGCAUCCUGGGGCUGGAGCAGGUCCCAAGGGUAUGGCUGUUCGCCAUUUAAAGCGGUACGCGAGCUGGGUUCAGAACGUCGUGAGACAGUUCGGUCCCUAUCUGCCGUGGGCGUAAGAAGAUUGAGGAGAGUUGACCCUAGUACGAGAGGACCGGGUUGAACCGACCACUGGUGUACCAGUUAUCCUGCCAAGGGUAGCGCUGGGUAGCUAUGUCGGGAUGUGAUAACCGCUGAAAGCAUCUAAGCAGGAAGCCAACUCCAAGAUGAAUCUUCUUUUAAGAGCUCUUAUAGACUAUAAGUUUGAUAGGCUGGGUGUGUAAUGGAUGAAAGUCCUUUAGCUGACCAGUACUAAUAGCUCGUCUGCUUAUCUUUU
rnacentral:rRNA from 1 species